rnacentral:lncRNA from 1 species
AGAAAAUCUCACCUAUACUUUUAGUUUCAAAAAUGGCAAAAAAGAGAUUGUCAGCCAGCCAUUGCUGACAUUUUAAUGGCUUAUAUGAUUAAGGAGAGUGAAAUAAGACUAAUAUUUUUUCACUUUAGAGUUCAUAAUUAGGCAAGUUGAAUUAAGUUUAAAAAAUUAGUUUGAAGUUGAAAGUGAUUUUUGACAACACAAGAUUGUUCUCUUUAAAAAUUUUAAAUGCUGUCAGCCUUUUAAUUAAGCUAAAAAUGUGUUUACUUUGCGAUUAUUACCCUUUGAUCCUAGUAUUUAGUGUCCAAAUUAGUCUUUUGAAAGGCAUGCUCUUUUCAAACCAGACCAGUGAUAGAUGAUGCAUGCCGGCAGCCAGAUGUGUUCCAGUCCAUUAUGUAGCUUCUUACAGUGUUGGGAGCAAAGAAAUGUUUUUAGUUUUUCAAAUUAUAUCUUCAUUUCACCACAGAGUGCCCACUUUUAUAUACAUUUGAGGAUUACUUUUAAAUAAAUUUCAUGUUGGGAAGUGAUUUCAGAAAUAUAGUCAAAAUAUAUUGUUGGCAUCUUGAGAUUUCUCGGGUUUUUUAUUUUACCAUUUACCACUGAAAAGGGUUUAGAGCUCAUUCUUCUUUGUUUAUAUAUUUUUUUACCUUGGUGUUUAUGCUGUUGCUUUCAGUCAGUUUUUG